UAAGCGACUAAGCGUACACGGUGGAUGCCCUGGCAGUCAGAGGCGAUGAAGGACGUGCUAAUCUGCGAAAAGCGUCGGUAAGGUGAUAUGAACCGUUACAGCCGGCGAUGUCCGAAUGGGGAAACCCAGUGCAAUUCGUUGCACUAUCGUUAACUGAAUACAUAGGUUAACGAGGCGAACCGGGGGAACUGAAACAUCUAAGUACCCCGAGGAAAAGAAAUCAACCGAGAUUCCCCCAGUAGCGGCGAGCGAACGGGGAGCAGCCCAGAGUCUGAAUCAGCUUGUGUGUUAGUGGAACGGUCUGGAAAGUCCGACGGUACAGGGUGAUAGUCCCGUACACCAAAAUGCACAGGCUGUGAACUCGAAGAGUAGGGCGGGACACGUGGUAUCCUGUCUGAAUAUGGGGGGACCAUCCUCCAAGGCUAAAUACUCCUGACUGACCGAUAGUGAACCAGUACCGUGAGGGAAAGGCGAAAAGAACCCCGGCGAGGGGAGUGAAAAAGAACCUGAAACCGUGUACGUACAAGCAGUGGGAGCACCUUCGGGUGUGACUGCGUACCUUUUGUAUAAUGGGUCAGCGACUUAUAUUCUGUAGCAAGGUUAACCGUAUAGGGGAGCCGCAGGGAAACCGAGUCUUAACUGGGCGUUAAGUUGCAGGGUAUAGACCCGAAACCCGGUGAUCUAGCCAUGGGCAGGUUGAAGGUUGGGUAACACUAACUGGAGGACCGAACCGACUAAUGUUGAAAAAUUAGCGGAUGACUUGUGGCUGGGGGUGAAAGGCCAAUCAAACCGGGAGAUAGCUGGUUCUCCCCGAAAGCUAUUUAGGUAGCGCCUCGUGAACUCAUCUUCGGGGGUAGAGCACUGUUUCGGCUAGGGGGUCAUCCCGACUUACCAACCCGAUGCAAACUACGAAUACCGAAGAAUGUUAUCACGGGAGACACACGGCGGGUGCUAACGUCCGUCGUGAAGAGGGAAACAACCCAGACCGCCAGCUAAGGUCCCAAAGUCAUGGUUAAGUGGGAAACGAUGUGGGAAGGCACAGACAGCCAGGAUGUUGGCUUAGAAGCAGCCAUCAUUUAAAGAAAGCGUAAUAGCUCACUGGUCGAGUCGGCCUGCGCGGAAGAUGUAACGGGGCUAAACCAUGCACCGAAGCUGCGGCAGCGACACUAUGUGUUGUUGGGUAGGGGAGCGUUCUGUAAGCCUGCGAAGGUGUGCUGUGAGGCAUGCUGGAGGUAUCAGAAGUGCGAAUGCUGACAUAAGUAACGAUAAAGCGGGUGAAAAGCCCGCUCGCCGGAAGACCAAGGGUUCCUGUCCAACGUUAAUCGGGGCAGGGUGAGUCGACCCCUAAGGCGAGGCCGAAAGGCGUAGUCGAUGGGAAACAGGUUAAUAUUCCUGUACUUGGUGUUACUGCGAAGGGGGGACGGAGAAGGCUAUGUUAGCCGGGCGACGGUUGUCCCGGUUUAAGCAUGUAGGCUGAUUGUCCAGGCAAAUCCGGAUAAUCAAGGCUGAGGUGUGAUGACGAGGCACUACGGUGCUGAAGUAACAAAUGCCCUGCUUCCAGGAAAAGCCUCUAAGCAUCAGGUAACAUCAAAUCGUACCCCAAACCGACACAGGUGGUCAGGUAGAGAAUACCAAGGCGCUUGAGAGAACUCGGGUGAAGGAACUAGGCAAAAUGGUGCCGUAACUUCGGGAGAAGGCACGCUGGUGUGUAGGUGAAGUCCCUGCGGAUGGAGCUGAGACCAGUCGAAGAUACCAGCUGGCUGCAACUGUUUAUUAAAAACACAGCACUGUGCAAACACGAAAGUGGACGUAUACGGUGUGACGCCUGCCCGGUGCCGGAAGGUUAAUUGAUGGGGUUAUCCGUAAGGAGAAGCUCUUGAUCGAAGCCCCGGUAAACGGCGGCCGUAACUAUAACGGUCCUAAGGUAGCGAAAUUCCUUGUCGGGUAAGUUCCGACCUGCACGAAUGGCGUAAUGAUGGCCAGGCUGUCUCCACCCGAGACUCAGUGAAAUUGAACUCGCUGUGAAGAUGCAGUGUACCCGCGGCAAGACGGAAAGACCCCGUGAACCUUUACUAUAGCUUGACACUGAACAUUGAGCCUUGAUGUGUAGGAUAGGUGGGAGGCUUUGAAGCGUGGACGCCAGUCUGCGUGGAGCCAACCUUGAAAUACCACCCUUUAAUGUUUGAUGUUCUAACGUUGGCCCCUGACCGGGGUUGCGGACAGUGUCUGGUGGGUAGUUUGACUGGGGCGGUCUCCUCCCAAAGCGUAACGGAGGAGCACGAAGGUUAGCUAAUCCUGGUCGGACAUCAGGAGGUUAGUGCAAUGGCAUAAGCUAGCUUGACUGCGAGCGUGACGGCGCGAGCAGGUGCGAAAGCAGGUCAUAGUGAUCCGGUGGUUCUGAAUGGAAGGGCCAUCGCUCAACGGAUAAAAGGUACUCCGGGGAUAACAGGCUGAUACCGCCCAAGAGUUCAUAUCGACGGCGGUGUUUGGCACCUCGAUGUCGGCUCAUCACAUCCUGGGGCUGAAGUAGGUCCCAAGGGUAUGGCUGUUCGCCAUUUAAAGUGGUACGCGAGCUGGGUUUAGAACGUCGUGAGACAGUUCGGUCCCUAUCUGCCGUGGGCGCUGGAGAAUUGAGGGGGGCUGCUCCUAGUACGAGAGGACCGGAGUGGACGCAUCACUGGUGUUCGGGUUGUCAUGCCAAUGGCACUGCCCGGUAGCUAAAUGCGGAAGAGAUAAGUGCUGAAAGCAUCUAAGCACGAAACUUGCCCCGAGAUGAGUUCUCCCUGAGACUAUAAGUCUCCUGAAGGAACGUUGAAGACGACGACGUUGAUAGGCCGGGUGUGUAAGCGCAGCGAUGCGUUGAGCUAACCGGUACUAAUGAACCGUGAGGCUUAACCU
rnacentral:rRNA from 1 species